rnacentral:rRNA from 1 species
UACGUAGGGUGCAAGCGUUGUCCGGAAUUACUGGGCGUAAAGCGUGCGCAGGCGGUUAUGCAAGACAGAGGUGAAAUCCCCGGGCUUAACCUGGGAAUGGCAUUCGGGACUGCAAGGCUGGAGUGCGGCAGAGGAGACUGGAAUUCCUGGUGUAGCAGUGAAAUGCGUAGAUAUCAGGAGGAACACCGAUGGCGAAGGCAGGUCUCUGGGCUGACACUGACGCUCAUGCACGAAAGCGUGGGGAGCAAACAGG